rfam:Capsicum annuum cultivar Zunla-1 unplaced genomic scaffold scaffold1245, whole genome shotgun sequence
CCCAUCGCUCCUACCGAUUGAAUGAUCUGGUGAAAUAUUCGGAUUAUGGCGACGUGGUCGGUUCUCUACCCGCGACGUCAGGAGAAUUCCAUUGAACCGUAUCAUUUAGAGGAAGGAGACGUCGUUA